UGCACCUUUUAAAUGAAGUCCAGCGAGGCUUACAAAGGUGCGAGGAGGAGGACAUAUGUUUUCCUCAUGCUUUUCAACACCUUGCCUCGCAUGGCAAGGUGUUUUUUACU
rfam:Anoxybacillus sp. BCO1 LR68_contig000019, whole genome shotgun sequence.